AGGGUUCGAUUCUGGCUCAGGAUGAACGCUGGCGGCGUGCUUAACACAUGCAAGUCGAACGGAGUUUUAACGGAAGUUUCGGAUGGAAGUUAAGAACUAGUGGCGGACGGGUGAGUAACGCGUGGGUAACCUGCCUCAUACAGGGGGAUAACAGUUAGAAAUGACUGCUAACACCGCAUAAUAUAGCGAAACCGCAUGAUUUUGCUAUCAAAUAUUUAUAGGUAUGAGAUGGGCCCGCGUCUGAUUAGCUAGUUGGUGGGGUAAAAGCCUACCAAGGCGACGAUCAGUAGCCGGCUUGAGAGAGUGACCGGCCACAUUGGGACUGAGACACGGCCCAAACUCCUACGGGAGGCAGCAGUGGGGAAUAUUGGACAAGUGGGGGAAACCCUGAUCCAGGCCGACGCCGCGUGAGUGAAGAAGUUAUUUCGGUAUGUAAAGCUCUAUCAGCAGGGAAGAUAAUGACAGUACCUGACUAAGAAGCCCCGGCUAACUACGUGCCAGCCGCCGC
rnacentral:rRNA from 1 species